UGGGGAAUCUUCCGCAAUGGACGAAAGUCUGACGGAGCAACGCCGCGUGAGUGAAGACGGCCUUCGGGUUGUAAAGCUCUGUGAUCCGGGACGAAAGAGCCUGAGGUAAAUAGCCUAAGGAAGUGACGGUACCGGAAAAGCAAGCCACGGCUAACUACGUGCCAGCAGCCGCGGUAAUACGAAGGUGGCAAGCGUUGUCCGGAAUUAUUGGGCGUAAAGCGCGCGCAGGCGGCUUCCUAAGUCCAUCUUAAAAGUGCGGGGCUUAACCCCGUGAUGGGAUGGAAACUGGGAAGCUGGAGUAUCGGAGAGGAAAGUGGAAUUCCUAGUGUAGCGGUGAAAUGCGUAGAGAUUAGGAAGAACACCGGUGGCGAAGGCGACUUUCUGGACGAAAACUGACGCUGAGGCGCGAAAGCGUGGGGAGCAAACAGG
rnacentral:rRNA from 1 species